rnacentral:ncRNA from 1 species
AUAAAUCCUUUGAUAAGGGAUAGUAGCUAAAUGUAGGUUCAAAAUAGAGAGCUGAGGGUGGUGGAAUCUUAGCAAGAAAAAGUUUAGUGAAUGGGCCUUUGAGGAGCAAAUCGAAAUUUCUUAAAGUAGACUUUGCCGUGUAUCGCACGUUAUAGCGAAUAGGGUAUGAUAGUACCUGAAAAUGAGUGAUGUAUAGCUAUUUUGUUAUACAUAAUUUAGGUGGCAACGCGGAUAAUCUCCGUCCUAUUU